AUGCAUGUAUUGAAGGAAAAACAAUGGAUACUGAUUGUUGCUAAAUUCAGAGCCAAAUUGAUUGAUAUUAUUAAUCCGUACUACAGUGGUGAUACAUUUCUACCGACAAUUAGUUCACUAAUUUACAACUUCAAGGCUUUGUUCGCUGCCACAUACGGAAAUACUAAUUCUUUUAACAUAGGAAAUUUUGAGUCAACAUUUGUACCAGCUCCCAAGGUCAAUUUCAGGUAUGACUCAGGGAUUUUCCUUCUUCAAUAUUUGAGCAACUACAGAGGUCUCGGAAUGGAGGGUUUCCCUAAUGAUGAUCUAUAA
rnacentral:rRNA from 1 species